GAAAGUAAGCAAGGGCAGACGGUGGAUGCCUUGGCUCUCGGAGGCGACGAAGGACGUGAUAAGCUGCGAAAAGCUCGGGGGAGGCGCAAAUAGCCGUUGAUCCCGGGAUAUCCGAAUGGGGCAACCCGGCAGGCUGAAGGCCUGCCAUCCCGUAAGGGAGGCGAACGUGGGGAACUGAAACAUCUAAGUACCCAUAGGAGGAGAAAAUAAACAAUGAUUCCGUAAGUAGUGGCGAGCGAACACGGAAGAGCCCAAACCCAUGUCGUCUAGGCGACACGGGGGUUGUAGGACCACGACGUGGCAAGAGGAUGGCAAGUGGAACGCCUUGGAAAGGGCGACCGUAGAGGGUGAUAGUCCCGUACACGACUGCCGAUUGAAGCCUAGUGGUAUCCUGAGUAGCGCGGGGCACGAGAAAUCUUGCGUGAAACAGCGGGGCCCAUCCCGUAAGGCUAAAUACUCCCGAGAGACCGAUAGCGAACCAGUACCGUGAGGGAAAGGUGAAAAGAACCCCGAGCAGGGGAGUGAAAUAGACCCUGAACCCGUCUGCCUACAAGCGGUCGGAGCAUAGCAAUAUGUGACGGCGUGCCUUUUGCAUAAUGAACCUACGAGUUACCUUCCCCGGCAAGGUUAAGUACCUAAGGUACGGAGCCGAAGCGAAAGCGAGUCUGAAGAGGGCGGCCAGUCGGGGGGGGUAGACGCGAAACCGAGUGAUCUACCCUUGGCCAGGUUGAAGGUUGGGUAACACCAACUGGAGGACCGGAUGGGUAAGCGUUGAAAAGCUUUCCAAUGAGCUGAGGGUAGGGGUGAAAGGCUAAUCAAACUCGGAGAUAGCUCGUACUCCCCGAAAUGCAUUUAGGUGCAGCCUCUUUAUAGUAUAUCGUGAGGUAGAGCGACUGAUUGGAUGCGAGGGCUUCACCGCCUAUCAAGUCCAGAUAAACUCCGAAUGCGCGAUAUAUAUUUACAGGGAGUGAGGGCGCGGGUGCUAAGGUCCGUGUCCGAGAGGAGAAGAAUCCAGACCACCGGCUAAGGCCCCCAAAUGAUCGUUGAGUUGAACUAACGAGGUCGGAUCGCAGAGACAGCUAGGAUGUUGGCUUGGAAGCAGCCAUUCAUUUAAAGAGUGCGUAACAGCUCACUAGUCGAGCGAUCUGGCGUGGAUAAUAAUCGGGCAUAAACGAUCUGCCGAAGCCGUGGAUGUCGUAAGACAUGGUAGGGGAGCAUUCCAUGCGGCGUCGAAGAUGAGGGAUGACCCUUGUUGGAGCGCAUGGAAAAGCAAAUGUAGGUAUGAGUAACGAUAAGGGGGGCGAGAAACCCCCCCGCCGAAAGACCAAGGUUUCCUGAUCAACGCUAAUCGGAUCAGGGUGAGUCGGGACCUAAGGCAAAGCCGAACGGCGACGCCGAUGGAAGAAUGGGUUAAUAUUCCCAUACUGCCUCAUGGAGUGACGUGGAGACGGAGAAGUGACAGUCCUGCCGGCUGACGGAAUAGCCGGUUGAAGGGUGUAGAUAUUGAUUCCCGUAGGCAAAUCCGCGGGGAGAGUCGAACCUGACAGUAUACCGAGUACUUGUACGAGGUAAUAUGGACGUAACCAUGCUCCCAAGAAAAUCCGCUAAACUUAUCCAUGCGGCACCCGUACCGUAAACGGACACACGUGGUCGGGUUGAGAAUACUGAGGCGCUCGAGUGACUCACGGUUAAGGAACUAGGCAAAUUGACCCUGUAACUUCGGGAUAAAGGGUCCUCGUCGUAAGGCGAGGCGCAGAGAAUAGGUCCAGGCAACUGUUUAACAAAAACACAUGGCUGUGCUAAAUGGAAACAUGACGUAUACAGCCUGACACCUGCCCGGUGCUGGAAGGUUAAGAGGAGAUGUCAUCGCGAGAGAAGCGUUGAAUUGAAGCCCCAGUAAACGGCGGCCGUAACUAUAACGGUCCUAAGGUAGCGAAAUUCCUUGUCGGGUAAGUUCC
rnacentral:rRNA from 1 species